AUAAAUAAAUUUAUAUUUAAAAAAAGGAAUGAUGAUCUAUGCAACUCUAUCAGUGUUAUUUAUUUUUGACCUGGAAAUGAUAACUUGUGAUGAUUAGACGGGGAGAGGGAAUUAAAAUAGCCUGUGAUCUGAAGAAUGUCUGUUCUAAAACCCCAACUGCCAUCGUGCAAGGCUGCCGGCCUUAAACCUCCUUAUAGAAAAGAACCAGACUGCUCUUUCCCCAUUCCUCCUGGGUUCCUCAAAUCCAUCCCUUCCAUUCCCUAAAGAGGGGCCCCUUUCCAAAGAGUCUAAUAGUGUUCCUUGUUCCUUUACAGAGCAUCCUCCGUUGCGUGGGCAACCUUCUCCGAAUCGCGUUUCCUCUGGGGCUGGACCAGCACUGUGGCAAAGCUCAUCUAGGACCAUGAGGUCAAGACCAGCUCACUGCAUGGGCGUGCACAAAGGUCCCAUGUAUCUUUCUGAAGAUAUUUCUAUGUUAAAUGUACUGAUUUAACACCAAGCAUCAAAUCUGGACCUGACACAGGAAUUCAAGUCACUGGGCUCCUGCAUCUUCCUACUGACAAAGCAUAUCUUAAGCUGCUAGGAACGUAACUGUGAUCCUACCAUACAACUUCCGGCGAGGGAAACGCCUUCACUUUCACAGAGAGCCGAUAAG